rnacentral:rRNA from 1 species
CUCCUACGGGAGGCAGCAGUGGGGAAUUUUGGACAAUGGGGGAAACCCUGAUCCAGCAAUCCCGCGUGUGUGAAGAAGGCCUUCGGGUUGUAAAGCACUUUUGUCCGGAAAGAAAACUUGUGCAUUAAUACUGCGGGAGGAUGACGGUACCGGAAGAAUAAGUACCGGCUAACUACGUGCCAGCAGCCGCGGUAAUACGUAGGGUGCGCGCGUUAAUCGGAAUUUCCGGGCGUAAAGCGUGCGCAGGCGGUUCGUUAAGACAGAUGUGAAAUCCCCGGGCUUAACCUGGGAACUGCAUUUGUGACUGGCGAGCUAGAGUAUGGCAGAGGGGGGUAGAAUUCCACGCGUAGCAGUGAAAUGCGUAGAGAUGUGGCGGAAUACCGAUGGCGAAGGCAGCCCCCUGGGCCAAUACUGACGCUCAUGCACGAAAGCGUGGGGAGCAAACACGGAUUAGAUACCCUGGUAGUCCACGCCCUAAACGAUGUCAACUAGCUGCUUGGGGAUUCAUUUCCUUAGUAACGUAGCUAACGCGUGAAGUUGACCGCCUGGGGAGUACGGUCGCAAGAUUAAAACUCAAAGGAAUUGACGG